GGUCUGAUGGUCUAGCGGUAUGAUUCUCGCUUAGGGUACACCCUAAAUAUUCAAAGCUUCCAAGCUUGCGAGAGGUCCCGGGUUCAAUCCCCGGUCAGACCC
rnacentral:tRNA from 1 species